GAUGAACGCUGGCGGCGUGCCUAAUACAUGCAAGUCGAGCGAACAGACGAGGAGCUUGCUCCUCUGACGUUAGCGGCGGACGGGUGAGUAACACGUGGAUAACCUACCUAUAAGUCUGGGAUAACUUGGGGAAACCGGAGCUCAUACCGGAUAAUAUAUUGAACCGCAUGGUUCAAUAGUGAAAGACGGUUUUGCUGUCACUUAUAGAUGGAUCCGCGCCGCAUUAGCUAGUUGGUAAGGUAACGGCUUACCAAGGCAACGAUGCGUAGCCGACCUGAGAGGGUGAUCGGCCACACUGGAACUGAGACACGGUCCAGACUCCUACGGGAGGCAGCAGUAGGGAAUCUUCCGCAAUGGGCGAAAGCCUGACGGAGCAACGCCGCGUGAGGGAUGAAGGUCUUCGGAUCGUAAAACUCUGUUAUUAGGGAAGAACAAAUGUGUAAGUAACUAGGCACGUCUUGACGGUACCUAAUCAGAAAGCCACGGCUAACUACGUG
rnacentral:rRNA from 1 species